rnacentral:rRNA from 1 species
GACCCGUCAGUGUCUUGUGAAAUCCCACUGCUCAACGGUGGAAUUGCAGGGCAUACUGCGGGUCUUGAGGUCGGUAGAGGUUGCCGGAACUGUAGGUGUAGCGGUGAAAUGCGUAGAUAUCUACAGGAACACCAAAGGCGAAGGCAGGCAACUGGGCCGAUUCUGACGCUCAGGCACGAAAGCGUGGGGAGCAAACAGGAUUAGAUACCCUGGUAGUCCACGCCGUAAACGAUGUGCACUAGGUUCUGGAGACUCUGACGUCCCCGGAGCCGAAGUUAAAACGUUAAGUGCACCGCCUGGGGAGUACGGUCGCAAGGCUAAAACUCAAAGGAAUUGACGGGGGCUCACACAAGCGGUGGAGCAUGUGGCUUAAUUCGAAGCAACGCGAAGAACCUUAUCCAGGGUUUGACAUGUAUGGAUUAACGCCUCGAAAGAGGCGCCACGCCCUUUGGGUGGAACAUACACAGGUGCUGCAUGGCUGUCGUCAGCUCGUGCUGUGAAGUGUUGGGUUAAGUCCCUUAACGAGCGAAACCCCUGUCGUUAGUUGCCAGCGCGCCUUCGGGUGGCGGGGACUCUAACGAGACUGCCGGUGUCAAACCGGAGGAAGGCGGGGAUGACGUCAAGUCCUCAUGGCCUUUAUGCCCUGGGCUGCACACGUGCUACAAUGGCGACAACAGAGCGACGCAAAACCGCGAGGUUGAGCAAAUCGCAAAAAAGUCGCCCCAGUUCAGAUUGGAGUCUGCAAUUCGACUCCAUGAAGUUGGAAUCGCUAGUAA